GGUUAAGCGACUAAGCGUACACGGUGGAUGCCCUGGCAGUCAGAGGCGAUGAAGGACGUGCUAAUCUGCGAUAAGCGUCGGUGAGGUGAUAUGAACCGUUAUAACCGGCGAUUUCCGAAUGGGGAAACCCAGUGUGUUUCGACACACUAUCAUUAACUGAAUCCAUAGGUUAAUGAGGCGAACCGGGGGAACUGAAACAUCUAAGUACCCCGAGGAAAAGAAAUCAACCGAGAUUCCCCCAGUAGCGGCGAGCGAACGGGGAGGAGCCCAGAGCCUGAAUCAGUGUGUGUGUUAGUGGAAGCGUCUGGAAAGGCGUGCGAUACAGGGUGACAGCCCCGUACACAAAAAUGCACAUAUUGUGAGCUCGAUGAGUAGGGCGGGACACGUGGUAUCCUGUCUGAAUAUGGGGGGACCAUCCUCCAAGGCUAAAUACUCCUGACUGACCGAUAGUGAACCAGUACCGUGAGGGAAAGGCGAAAAGAACCCCGGCGAGGGGAGUGAAAAAGAACCUGAAACCGUGUACGUACAAGCAGUGGGAGCCUCUUAAUGGGGUGACUGCGUACCUUUUGUAUAAUGGGUCAGCGACUUAUAUUCUGUAGCAAGGUUAACCGAAUAGGGGAGCCGAAGGGAAACCGAGUCUUAACUGGGCGUUAAGUUGCAGGGUAUAGACCCGAAACCCGGUGAUCUAGCCAUGGGCAGGUUGAAGGUUGGGUAACACUAACUGGAGGACCGAACCGACUAAUGUUGAAAAAUUAGCGGAUGACUUGUGGCUGGGGGUGAAAGGCCAAUCAAACCGGGAGAUAGCUGGUUCUCCCCGAAAGCUAUUUAGGUAGCGCCUCGUGAAUUCAUCUCCGGGGGUAGAGCACUGUUUCGGCAAGGGGGUCAUCCCGACUUACCAACCCGAUGCAAACUGCGAAUACCGGAGAAUGUUAUCACGGGAGACACACGGCGGGUGCUAACGUCCGUCGUGAAGAGGGAAACAACCCAGACCGCCAGCUAAGGUCCCAAAGUCAUGGUUAAGUGGGAAACGAUGUGGGAAGGCCCAGACAGCCAGGAUGUUGGCUUAGAAGCAGCCAUCAUUUAAAGAAAGCGUAAUAGCUCACUGGUCGAGUCGGCCUGCGCGGAAGAUGUAACGGGGCUAAACCAUGCACCGAAGCUGCGGCAGCGACACUAUGUGUUGUUGGGUAGGGGAGCGUUCUGUAAGCCUGUGAAGGUGGCCUGUGAGGGUUGCUGGAGGUAUCAGAAGUGCGAAUGCUGACAUAAGUAACGAUAAAGCGGGUGAAAAGCCCGCUCGCCGGAAGACCAAGGGUUCCUGUCCAACGUUAAUCGGGGCAGGGUGAGUCGACCCCUAAGGCGAGGCCGAAAGGCGUAGUCGAUGGGAAACAGGUUAAUAUUCCUGUACUUGGUGUUACUGCGAAGGGGGGACGGAGAAGGCUAUGUUGGCCGGGCGACGGUUGUCCCGGUUUAAGCGUGUAGGCUGGUUUUCCAGGCAAAUCCGGAAAACCAAGGCUGAGGCGUGAUGACGAGGCACUACGGUGCUGAAGCGACAAAUGCCCUGCUUCCAGGAAAAGCCUCUAAGCAUCAGGUAACAUCAAAUCGUACCCCAAACCGACACAGGUGGUCAGGUAGAGAAUACCAAGGCGCUUGAGAGAACUCGGGUGAAGGAACUAGGCAAAAUGGUGCCGUAACUUCGGGAGAAGGCACGCUGAUAUGUAGGUGAAGCGACUUGCUCGUGGAGCUGAAAUCAGUCGAAGAUACCAGCUGGCUGCAACUGUUUAUUAAAAACACAGCACUGUGCAAACACGAAAGUGGACGUAUACGGUGUGACGCCUGCCCGGUGCCGGAAGGUUAAUUGAUGGGGUUAGCGGCAACGCGAAGCUCUUGAUCGAAGCCCCGGUAAACGGCGGCCGUAACUAUAACGGUCCUAAGGUAGCGAAAUUCCUUGUCGGGUAAGUUCCGACCUGCACGAAUGGCGUAAUGAUGGCCAGGCUGUCUCCACCCGAGACUCAGUGAAAUUGAACUCGCUGUGAAGAUGCAGUGUACCCGCGGCAAGACGGAAAGACCCCGUGAACCUUUACUAUAGCUUGACACUGAACAUUGAGCCUUGAUGUGUAGGAUAGGUGGGAGGCUUUGAAGUGUGGACGCCAGUCUGCAUGGAGCCGACCUUGAAAUACCACCCUU
rnacentral:rRNA from 1 species